rnacentral:rRNA from 1 species
GACGAACGCUGGCGGCGUGCUUAACACAUGCAAGUCGAACGGAAAGGCCCUGCUUUUGUGGGGUGCUCGAGUGGCGAACGGGUGAGUAACACGUGAGUAACCUGCCCUUGACUUUGGUAUAACUUCAGGAAACUGGGGCUAAUACCGUAUAGGAUCUCCUGCUGCAUGGUGGGGGUUGGAAAGUUUCGGCGGUUGGGGAUGGACUCGCGGCUUAUCAGCUUGUUGGUGGGGUAGUGGCUUACCAAGGCUUUGACGGGUAGCCGGCCUGAGAGGGUGACCGGCGACAUGGGGACUGAGAUACGGCCCAGAGUCGUACGGGAGGCAGCAGUGGGGAAUAUUGCACAAUGGGAGGAAGCCUGAUGCAGAAACGCCGCGUGCGGGAUGACGGCCUUCGGGUUGUAAACCGCUUUAGCCUGUGACGAAGCGUGAGUGACGGUAAUGGGUAAAGAAGCACCGGCUAACUACGUG